rnacentral:rRNA from 1 species
UUCUACCCUGAACGUGCCCAAUCUCGUCUGAUCUCAGAAGCUAAGCAGAGUCAGGCCUGGUUAGUACUUGGAUGGGAGACCACUUGGGAAUCCCAGGU